rnacentral:rRNA from 1 species
UAGGGAAUAUUGCACAAUGAGCGAAAGCUUGAUGCAGCAACGCCGCGCGCGCGAUGACGGCCUUCGGGUUGUAAAGCGCUUUUCGGGGAGAUGAGGAAGGACAGUAUCCCCGGAAUAAGUCUCGGCUGACUACGUGCCAGCAGCCGCGGUAACACGUAGGAGGCAAGCGUUAUCCGAAUUUACUGGGCGUAAAGCGCGUGCAGGCGGUUCGGUAAGUUGGAUGUGAAAUCUCCCGGCUCAACUGGGAGGUGACGUUCAAUACUGUCGGACUUGAGGACGAUAGAGGGAGGUGGAAUUCCCGGUGUAGUGAUGAAAUGCGUAGAUAUCGGGAGGAACACCAGAGGCGAGAGCGGCCUCCUGGAUCGUUCCUGACGCUCAGACGCGAAAGCUAGGGGAGCGAACGG